GUGCUUUAGGGAUGAACAUGUCCCAGAUAAUUAUCCAUCCGAAUCACUUUGUCAGCUUUUAUUUUUGUUUGCUUGCUGAUCAUUAUAGGAUGGAAUAUUG